UCUAGGAAAUUUGCUGAAGCUGUGGCAAGGAAACUAAUGUUCGCACAGCAAGUCCUCAAAGAUCAAAAUUGUAAUUUUUCCACUUUUGAAAAUUCUGGCGAAGAUCUUAUUAACGAAGUAAGUGUUGAUGCUUGUGAUGUUACUCUGAGUGCAUAUCCACACCGGGCAAGCUUGAGUGUUAUUUUGUUUCAAUUUUGCAAAUCGUAUAAUGCGCUUCUUUCGCACGUUAUUUGUAUAUUUUCUCAUCCCAUAUUUUCUUUGCUUUUUUAAAGGCGGAUCAGUUGGUUAAGAGAGUUGACAGUUUACAUGCUGAAAAACGGGCCAUAAAGAUGGAACUGGAAUCGAUCAGAUCAACUCAGCCAGAAAACGUGAAAUGCUGACAACGCUUUUAUUCGCGAACGAAUUAAACCUUGUGUUUUAGCAACUUGAGUCAACUAGCAGGCUUGUCCCCCUUUAGAAAUCGCUCUUGUGCGUUAUACCUUUGGGAAUUUAAUUUAAUUGUACAUGAACGGCGGAAGUAUUUACAACUUCCCUUUGUCCAAAUAUACAAAGUUGUCCUUCAGUAGCAUUAUAUAAAUGUUGUGUUCGAGUGAGGCCAAAAGUUACUGUAAAAAGUAAAGCCUAACUUAGGCGGCAAAUGUUAAUAUAAAAAUAUAAAAUAUAUAAAAAGUUUUUUAACUUUUUAAUUUUUUAAACUUUUAAUUUUUUAACUUUUUAUAUUUUUCUAUUAACAUUUGUCAUUUGCCGCCUAAGAUAGGCUUUACUUUUUACAGUAGCUUUUGGCCUCACUCGAACAGUCGAACACGACAUUUGUUCAAAUAAUUUAACACUUCGUAUAAGUUGUUACGACAAAUACUCGUUGUUCUGUAGUCCGUUGAACCAUUUUUGCUCGACCUGACGGUAAGACGAAUUUGUAAUCUGACAUUUUUGUGUUGCUGUUCGUUUUAGAAGCUUUUUCAAAUUCCCAGAUGUAUAACAACGCACAUUUAACACCAAAAGAGUGAUUUCCGACGGGUUUUUUGGACAUCCUGUAGAGUGUAAUUCCAAAUUACAUACUGAACAGUUCAGAUAAUUGCUGUAGUUUUUAGAAAAUCAACUUUUUAUAUACGGUGUAUUUAUUGCCAAAAUCAAAUCGCUGUGUGUUGUGUGAUUCUAGUUUGAAAGUAAAUAGAUAUUUUAUACUGAACUUAGAAAGGUCUAUAAUAUUGAUAUCAUUGUGUACUUUGUUACUGGACCUAGAUUUUCGCAUAGUUCUACUGCUACUGUUUUUCCUUGGAUGCAAAUAAUGGACGGGGAAAAUAUUAAACAAAAUGUUACUGUAUCAUAAAUACGAACCAUAUGC